UACGUAGGGGGCAAGCGUUGUCCGGAAUCAUUGGGCGUAAAGAGCGUGUAGGCGGCCCGGUAAGUCCGCUGUGAAAGUCCAGGGCUCAACCCUGGGAUGCCGGUGGAUACUGUCGGGCUCGAGUCCGGAAGAGGAGUGUGGAAUUCCUGGUGUAGCGGUGAAAUGCGCAGAUAUCAGGAGGAACACCAAUGGCGAAGGCAGCACUCUGGGACGUGACUGACGCUGAGACGCGAAAGCGUUGGGGAGCAAACAGG
rnacentral:rRNA from 1 species